rnacentral:pre_miRNA from 1 species
GAAAUACUCCCUCUGUCCGAAAAUACUUGUCAUCAAAAUGGAUAAAAAAAUGUAUCUAGAACUAAAAUACAUCUAGAUACAUCCCCUUUUAUCCAUUUUGAUGACAAGUAUUUCCGGACGAAGGGAGUACUCA